AGAUGCUGUUCGAAUGUGGAGCGAGUCGAGUGGACGAGUGCGGAGUCCCCCAAGUCGCCUUUCUGGAGCCGCUGCUCUUACUGCAGUAUCUGAUGAAGAUUUAUUCACGCAAUGGCAGCACACCAGAUCUUCAAUUCAUUAAUGAAGAUCAUCAACAUGCCGCUAUGCCGCCAUCCUGUUCUAACAAGUGACCUUAUAAAAGCCUUAUGUCAAGGAUUUGAGGUAACAACGAAAUUGUCGCACAAGGCUCCGAGGCGGCUGCCAGAGACUCGCGGACCUCAGGAGGAAUGUCCGCCAGAAUGUGCGCGGAAUGUCUGCGGAAUGCCGUGGAAUGUCGUCAGCAACAGAGGACACGAAGACAUUCGUACCUAAUCACGUCUAAGAGGAGGUCUGAAUGCUGAUCGAUGUUUAGAAAGUCACCAAGGAUGUAUUAUCAGCCUGGCCGGUAACAGUGGCGUAGUCUGUGAUCAGACUACUAUGACGCCAGGUGCAUGGAUCCUCUCACAAGGUGUCAAAAACUCUUAUGCAGUCGCUGUCUCACCUUCCCUGAUCCUCGCAACAUACAUUGUGUAACUGUGUAGAGCUCUGGGUUCCGUGUUGUGACUGUUAGUGUUCAUUCUCACAAUCUGAAUGUAGAGGUUCAUCUUCUGAGUUUUGGAACGGUUGAGCAAAUCGAAUGAAAACCACUUCUGAGAUUAAUGGUCAUUAUAAAGCAUCGUGUUAACUGCAUUGCUCAAUGCGGUGAUACCACGAUCAAUUGUGGAGAGAAGAAAUCUUCAGAGAAAACCAUGUCAUUUUCUUUGUAGAAAAUUGUAUCUGGAAUGUUUAAUUAAAUGAAUUAACUUAA